rnacentral:misc_RNA from 1 species
UUUCUUCCUUUGUGGCUUUGAUGUUGCAAGGGGGACCUCAAAGCAUCCUUGUGUCCCUGACAUGGCCUCAACGCAUGGUUGUGGUUGUCAUGGUCCACGUGCAAUGUGUUUGCUCUCUCGGAUGUGGUAAACGAUACGGACGUAAGGGUGUCCCGGCCCGUUGAAUGUUCGAAAUCCAGUCCCUCGAAAUGAACGACUCUCGCCACCAUACUGUCUGUUGGCCGAAGGUGCCAUUCGCGGUCACGUUGGUGCGAAGUCGUGAAGGAAUGCUACCUGGUUGAUCCUGCCAGUAGUCAUAUGCU